UUUCGCAAUGCCCGAAAGGGUGACAAUGCGACGCCGCGUGAGCGAUGAAGGCCUUCGGGUUGUAAAGCUCUGUCAGCUCGGAUGAACGCAAGGGGAUCAACACCCCCCUUGUCUGACAGUACGAGCAGAGGAAGCUUCGGCUAACUCCGUGCCAGCAGCCGCGGUAAUACGGAGGAAGCAAGCGUUGUUCGGAUUUACUGGGUGUAAAGGUCAUGUAGGCGUCUUACUAAGUCGGAUGUGAAAUCCCUUAGCUCAACUAAGGAACUGCAUUCGAUACUGGUAGGAUUGAGUACGAGAGAGGUAAGCGGUGAAAUGCGUAGAUAUCAGGAGGAACGCCGGUGGCGAAAGCGACUCUCUGGUCUGUUACUGACGCUGAGGCGCGAGAGCUAGGGGAGCAAACGGGAUUAGAUACCCCGGUAGUCCUAGCCGUAAACGAUGGGCACUAAGUAGAGGGGUUU
rnacentral:rRNA from 1 species